GAAACACCCUAAUGGGGCAGGACUUACUUCAGUAGGACGUUAGUGCUCACUGAGUCUGCCCCUUGAGUGGGUCACU
rfam:Myotis lucifugus cont2.13353, whole genome shotgun sequence.